AACCAGGAAAAGACAACACUUGUGUCAUAUCACAAUAUCCAAAAUUUAAGAGGAUAUCUAGCCUCAUAUAUCAAUGUCGAUAUAAUAUCGAUGUAUUGCCCAGCCCUACAUCAUAGUCACAUUAGGAACAUUAUAUGCCUUUCAGGAUAUUUUCCAUCCCAUUACAUUGUCAUAUAGCUUCUCCAAAAAAGAUAGAGGCCUUGUGUUUGCGUCACAAGCCCCAUCAGAGCGAUUGCUUGAACUGUCAUAGACGUCUCGCAUCAUGCUGACAACAGACUAGCUCACUAAGAAGCUAACAUUACCCAAGUACAAAUGUAGUCAGAUGAGUCAGCAUGCCAUUUAAAGAGUCACUUCACUCAAACUACCCUCUAGUAUCUGAGAUAACCAUGCAGAAAGUUCUGGUAUUAUUUGUCCAAGUUUUGUUGAUGUUUGUCUCUAAGGUUUAUGGCUCCUCCCCAAUAAAAUGGAGGGGAAUAUAGAAUAAUAAUAUAAUAGAAAGAUGGCUAAGAAAAUCUAAUUUUUUUUAAGUUUGGGUGGACUAGACCUUUUAAAAAAGAGAUGAAGACUUGAUGAGUUGAUGGUCGGGCCUGUAUGUUUAAGAGAAAAAAAAUUUUCUGCAUUUUCUCAGCCCUAAAAGCCCUCCAAUAUGGCCGCCAAAGUGCUGUAUUCCACAGAUUUUUUUAUUUUUUUUUUUGUAUUUUAAAACAAUGUUGUGCUUUUCCUUAUGACUCUUUGUGAGGCCUUCAGGGGAAGUCUUGCCAAAGUUCAAGGAUAAUUCUAGUUGAUUACAGCUUUGUUCUUGUUGUCGUAGUUUUGGCCGUUAUUUCUAUCAGUAAUGAUAACGUUGUACUCCUGAAGUUAACUGCUGAGAUUGUCGUAAACAUUUUCUUCAUGCGGCUUUACAAUCAUGCACGCACCGCCAUGCACCGCCAUGCACUGCCAUGCACCGCCAUGUGCUGGAUGUCAGGCAGUUAUCCUGGAUAUGUACUUCUGUUGAUCCAGACUGGUGGAGACCAAAACCAGAGGAGUGUGAAUGUGGCCAGAAACAUGACUCCAAAUAAAUGCUAGUAUAUUACUCAGUGUGAUAGAAAUGAUGGCCAAGGUUACAAAAAUAACACCCUAGUUAUCCUUAAAAAUAUCAAAAUACAACAUUUUGUCCAUGUAGGCUUUUUGCUGAAUGACAAACUUUCUUUCAACACAAACUAUUUAUUUUAGACAUGCUUUGUUAUGAUUUUGUGAACAUUUCAAUUCACAGCUCCCGGACAGUGAGCCCACCUAGUUAGAGUUAAGUCACAGUUAGUGCUUGACAGCCUCACAUUCCAGUGGGACCAUGGCAAACAUUAUGGGAUGUAAAUGGCUACUCUGUUAGACUCUGCCUGUGUUCAGGCGGGCCUGUACCGUGUUGUAACUCUGUCUGUCUGUUCUAGUCUUUUCUCCUAUCCCAAACUGACUUUGCCUGUUUGCCUGCUGCGCUCUUAAGUGUCGCCUGUUUUUACGACUGUGAGGAACUGAAGUGAACUCCCUCUCUCUUUCUCUCUCUCUCUUUCUCUCACUGUUUACAUGCUCUGACUUAUUGUGACAUAAUGUAAGGACUGAAUGGCCCACUCUGUGUCAAAUAGGGAUGAAUGCCUUGGCACACUGCAACCAUAUGAAAUUGCUUUUUUGGAAUGUCGUCUUUGUUUGCACUGAAGCUUUAGAAUCGACCCAGCACAUAUGUUCAUGGACACGCACCUUUUUGUUUGUCGAUAUUUACUUUCUCCUUUUCUUCAGCGUUGCACUUUGCGUUGUUCACAACCGGGUUAGAAUCACUGCCGCAUCACAUGUAUACGUGAAGUCACAGUGGUAGAUGCUUAGCUUUAUAUAACCACAGAUGUUCUUAUGACUGUACUACUGUAUAAUGAAUCCACUAUCUCAUUUUUUGUGAUGUAGAUUGGGGAAAAUGUAUCUUAAAUCAGAUGUCCGUGGAAGCAGAUGAUCCUGUUGUCUUGUGAAGCUCAUUCCAGCUCUCUGAUUGGCUAGUGAUAAGCUGUAGGUUAAAUAAAGGCCUGCUGCGGUUUUUUUUAGGAACUCCCAUCACGUCGGGAGUUGGUAAAACAGCUGAUAACCAGCAGUCGGUCCUCCUGACUGUUGAUUUAGAAGGCAAUUACUGUAAAUGAUAUCCUUUAUUUACCUUAUCUGCAGAUUUGUUAUAUAUAAUUAUUUGUUUUAGAUUAAUUUUAUUAAUUUCAAUUUUAUUUAUGGUAUCAAAUCAUAACAAGAUACAUAGUGUAGGUCUAGACCACUAUAAUUUACAAAGACCCUGAAAACCUGUUUUAAUUGCAUGUUGAUGCAAACUCAAAAGUUUGUCUGGAUAAAUGCCUGGAUACAUUCGGGAUAACAUACAUUUUCACAGCACUAUUUCCAUCCGUACAACAGGGUCAGGUCCUACUCACCGCUCUUGUGACACCACAUUGUUUAAAAAUGUGUUACGUGCCCCACUAAUGGUGGACGGAAGCUAAUGAUUACUUUUGGAUUCCGGGUCAAUUUUAGCAACUAUAGCAUGUUUUGUUCACAGCUGCAACAGAGAAGAGUAACAGAAACCUAUAUGAUUGUGACAUUAUCCAGCAGAGCCCAGGGUUUCUGUGUUAAGGAACCUUGAAGAUAGUAUUUAAAGUUUUUUUUAUAACAUGCUGUUCCUAGUAAGCUCUUAGUUUGAAAGAUUUGCAGGAAAUGUUAAGUUUGAUAGUAACUUGUCGGCGCUCAAUAAAAAAGGCAAAGCAGACAUGAUUGGGAUUAAUAAUCAGUGAAUGAAAACAGCAUUUCUGUUAAAAAACAAAACAAAGAGCACAAUGGUGAGUAUGACGUGACUGAUGCACUGAUGAUUCAUUAUACUGAAUGUAUCAAGUGCGCUAUCACAGCACAGGUAAUCCCACCCCAACUCAAUGUUUAGCUGCCCUUCUUAGUGCCAGCCUUUAUUUGUUCAACCACUAUGUUAAUACCGGCUUUUAUGGAACCCAAAAUUAUUCUCAUAAAUUACACAAAACACCUAUUUCUCUCCAGAAGUGUGUGUAUGUUUCCUUAAUUUAUAUUGGGUGUUUGUCCCAAAAUGUACCCGAUGGACUAUUAGUUUUUUUUUAUCGUAUGUGGACCAAUAAAACAACAAAGACUUUAUACAAUAGCGAGAAAAUAAAGAAAAUGUAUUGGAUACUUACUAUUAGCUUGCAAUUGCCUAGAUGUUCAAGAUAUUGCAUGAUA